rnacentral:rRNA from 1 species
GGGAAACUGCCUGAUGGAGGGGGAUAACUACUGGAAACGGUAGCUAAUACCGCAUAACGUCGCAAGACCAAAGUGGGGGACCUUCGGGCCUCAUGCCAUCAGAUGUGCCCAGAUGGGAUUAGCUGGUAGGUGGGGUAACGGCUCACCUAGGCGACGAUCCCUAGCUGGUCUGAGAGGAUGACCAGCCACACUGGAACUGAGACACGGUCCAGACUCCUACGGGAGGCAGCAGUGGGGAAUAUUGCACAAUGGGCGCAAGCCUGAUGCAGCCAUGCCGCGUGUGUGAAGAAGGCCUUCGGGUUGUAAAGCACUUUCAGCGGGGAGGAAGGCGGUGAGGUUAAUAACCUCACCGAUUGACGUUACCCGCAGAAGAAGCACCGGCUAACUCCGUGCCAGCAGCCGCGGUAAUACGGAGGGUGCAAGCGUUAAUCGGAAUUACUGGGCGUAAAGCGCACGCAGGCGGUCUGUCAAGUCGGAUGUGAAACCCCCGGGCUCAACCUGGGAACUGCAUUCGAAACUGGCAGGCUAGAGUCUUGUAGAGGGGGGUAGAAUUCCAGGU